AGACCCGAAACCCGGUGAUCUAGCCAUGGGCAGGUUGAAGGUUGGGUAACACUAACUGGAGGACCGAACCGACUAAUGUUGAAAAAUUAGCGGAUGACCUGUGGCUGGGGGUGAAAGGCCAAUCAAACCGGGAGAUAGCUGGUUCUCCCCGAAAGCUAUUUAGGUAGCGCCUCGUGAAUUCAUCUCCGGGGGUAGAGCACUGUUUCGGCUAGGGGGCCAUCCCGGCUUACCAACCCGAUGCAAACUGCGAAUACCGGAGAAUGUUAUCACGGGAGACACACGGCGGGUGCUAACGUCCGUCGUGAAGAGGGAAACAACCCAGACCGCCAGCUAAGGUCCCAAAGUCAUGGUUAAGUGGGAAACGAUGUGGGAAGGCCCAGACAGCCAGGAUGUUGGCUUAGAAGCAGCCAUCAUUUAAAGAAAGCGUAAUAGCUCACUGGUCGAGUCGGCCUGCGCGGAAGAUGUAACGGGGCUAAACCAUGCACCGAAGCUGCGGCAGCGACGCUUAUGCGUUGUUGGGUAGGGGAGCGUUCUGUAAGCCUGUGA
rnacentral:rRNA from 1 species